AACGAACGCUGGCGGCAUGCCUAACACAUGCAAGUCGAACGAAGGCUUCGGCCUUAGUGGCGCACGGGUACGUAACGCGUGGGAACCUGCCCCUCGGUUCGGAAUAACAGUUAGAAAUGACUGCUAAUACCGGAUGAUGACUUCGGUCCAAAGAUUUAUCGCCGAGGGAUGGGCCCGCGUAGGAUUAGCUAGUUGGUGGGGUAAAGGCCUACCAAGGCGACGAUCCUUAGCUGGUCUGAGAGGAUGAUCAGCCACACUGGGACUGAGACACGGCCCAGACUCCUACGGGAGGCAGCAGUGGGGAAUAUUGGACAAUGGGCGAAAGCCUGAUCCAGCAAUGCCGCGUGAGUGAUGAAGGCCUUAGGGUUGUAAAGCUCUUUUACCAGGGAUGAUAAUGACAGUACCUGGAGAAUAAGCUCCGGCUAACUCCGUG
rnacentral:rRNA from 1 species